UCAUGCAAUAAUAAUCAUCAUGUCUUUCAGGCAGCUAUCCAUCCUCAAUUGAAACAGAGCAGACCCGGCCAUCACUUCCUUCUUCAAAGUCCAGCAACCAAACGUUGCACAAUAACCACAAUGAUAAUCCUUGGUUACCCCCAAUGUGCUCCAUAGAGUCUUCAAAGUCAACCUGAAAAUGAAAUAAAAAUGCAAUCCAGGUAGAAAUGAAAAUUCUAUAAAUAAAAUAAAAUAAAAAUGCAAUGUUUGAGCUUGAGCUUGCUUUAACAUCAUCAUAAUAGGGAAUUUUUAUAUAUAUAGUUACUUCUCUGUUCUUGUUUAUUCACAACAAGAUAUCAAUAGAAGAAGAUGGAAAUGAAAUUCUAUAAAAAAAAGCAAGUGAAUUACCAGCAAAACAUUUUAGCAAUCCUUUGGCUAAACUAUUCAUUUUCAUAAUCUUGCUCUCCUGCGUGCAUCAUUAGAACCAAAUUAGCGUGGACCUGUGAAUUGCUAGUGCAGUUAUGACAUUUCCUCGAAUCCCUGGUGAGCAUAAUUAAACUCGUAUGAAAUAAAACAAAGUGGGCUAAUGUACUACUAAAAACAAUCACACAAUUACUUUAAAGAAUUAAUGUCACAUAAAUUAUAUAUAAAAAAAUACGAUUAUCAUUAUACAAGAUAACAUUGAUAAUUUAGUUUUCAACAUUACUGCAAAUGUAUCAUAGAGAUUAUGUCUCUCAGGAACUUACACAUAAAUUAUUUCUAUGAUGUUGUAUGAAAUUUUACAAAAGACUACAUAGUUUUUAAAAGAAAUUAUAGAAAUUUCAACAGACUGCACUUGUUUUUUUUACUUUAUUUUAUUAUUAUUUUAGCUUUAGAAAACAAGUUUAACAAAUUUGAUGACUAGGAAGUUUAAAUUUUAAAUAAUUAAAAUUAAAGUAUUAUUCUUACUAACCUUUAUGAACUAUUGAUUAAAUUUAACACUACAUAUUUAUACUAUGAUUGAUUCUGUAAUUUUUAUAAUAGCAUCAUAAAGUGACCCAAUAAAUUAAUAGUUGAAGUAAAUAGUUAAAUUCGAUAUGCAAAUCAAAAUAUUAGAAAAUAUUGUAUAUUCCUGUCAGACAUUGGGCAAUAUAUAGAAUUUUAAUUCAAAAUAUAAUUAUUUUUAUUAAUUUUAUUGCAAGCAACAACAAAGUAAAUCAGAGGAGGAGGAGAAAUUACCGGCGAGUGAUAUCUUACGCCGACCGCAUGAUGUAGGGAAGGUGAGAUAUCUUAUGCCAGUCUUCUCCUUCCCCUUCUCUGUAACCCCAAAUUGUCAAUGUUUGUAGUGUCGUUGUUUGAAGUAACAACAAAGUAAAAUAGAGGAGAGAAAUUACCGGUGGGUGAUAGUAAUUGCAACCAUUCGAGAAUUUACCACUCGGACUCGAUGUAGGGAAUGUGAGAUAUCUUAUGCUAGUCUUCUCCUUUCCCCUCUCUAUAACGGUUUUCCAGAAGAGGACAUCCCUGAAUACUCAAUUGCUGCAGCGUCGUCGUCCGAAGAAGCUAAUCCGGCAGCACGUUUAAUUUGGGGCAAUACUCAAUUUCCAAGGAAGAAAGACGUGGUAUGUCUGUUGUCCUGUGAUCUUCUAGAAUGCGCAGUUCUUCCAUAAUUGGACAAUAAGAAAUACUCAAUUUCUGCAAUGUCGUCGAUUGAAAAAGGUAAUCCGGCAGCACCCUUAAUCUGGGGCAAUACCAAAUUGUCAAGGAAGAAAGACGCGGCAUGAUGGAGAUGUUUUCCUUUCUUGUAAUCCUAUAAUUCCACUCUUCCAAUUCUUCCAUUGCCCCAAUGUGGAGUGAUUUCAAUUUGGGGAAGGCAAUGACUGAUGAUGAUGAUGAAGAUGAAGAUGGGUCAUCCUCACUGCUUCCUUCGAUUCCCAAAAACUCAUUACCCACUCUUUUCACACCAUACAGGCCGUAAAGGGUGAGUUUUUCCAACGGUAAUUUUCCCAAGGGAGGAAAAUGCUCACAGAUAACGCACGAUUUAAGUCUUAAAUCCCUUAGAUUGGUUAGUGAAGUCAACCAUUUGGGAAAUAUGUUGCCUCCGUAGGAUACAAUCCCUAAUUCUUUUACAUUCAAAGGCGGUUGUAAGGCUUCCAGAAGUUGUUGAUUCUUCCUCCUCCCUUCUUCACCUUCCUCAUCAAACUCAAGAGAUAAACGAAGGAGGUUUUUCAUAUUGUGAAGUCCUAAUCUCUCAUCCUCAUCUAAAUGUGACACAUUACUCAGCCCUUCUAUUCCACAUUCUCGAAGGAGUUGAAGAUUUUUCAGAGAUUCAAGCCUACACGUACUGAUAUCAUCAACACCUCCGCCCAUAGCAAACUUUUCUAAUGUUCGAAGACUGGUUAAUUUGGAAAUCCCUAUUGGCAUGUACUUCAACAAAGGAGUGCCACCAUUCAGUAAACUCCUCAUUUUCUUUAACUUCCCAAUCCCCGCUGGCAAUUCUCUAAGAUCUUCGCACCACCUAAUAUCUAGCUUUUGUAAAUUAUAUAAUUCACACAAAGUCUUAGGCAGUCUCUCUAUACAUAAUUCAGACAAAUUAAGAUAUUUUAAAUGUAUUAAUUUUCUGACAUUUUCUGGAAUUUCUCUAAUCAAAUUUGGGUAAGGAUCAAAUAUAAAGUUCUGUUGCCCUAUAACUAAUGCCUUGAAACACGCCAAUUUACUAAAUAACUCCGAAAGGAUGCUACUAUUAAGAGACGGAUUGGAAGGACUUUGGAAAUAAAUUAGGAGGGUCCGCAAUCUAUUAAGUCCAUGAAUGGACAUAGGAAAUGAAGCUCCUCCUUCAAAAUUUAACCCUAAGUGACGGACUUUAUCACCAAAAGAGUUUAUGACUGAUUCUUUGGUACCAUUAAUUUCUACCCACAAACAUUCUUUUCUACUUACAAAUUGAGCAAAAUUGUGUACUAUGUCAUGCAUCUUACAGCUCAUAAUAUCAUCAUCAUCAUCAUCUUUUUUAAACUCUUGAAAGAAAGAGCGUGCUGCUAAUGUUGAAAUACUCUUCCCCAGUCAUCUCUAUCUCUUCGUCUUCUUCUGCAUUAAGGUAACCUUGAACCAUCCAUAGUGAAAUUAGUUCCUUUUUUUUUAUAUUGUACUCUUUCGGAAAGAUUGCACAAUAUGAAAAACAUCGUUUUACCAUAGAAUUGGAGGGCAAAUCAUUAUAACUCAACAACAAUGGAGCAAAAAGGCCUUGCCCAAUCUCUUCUACUUUCC
rnacentral:lncRNA from 1 species